rnacentral:rRNA from 1 species
AUUGAACGCUGGCGGCAGGCUUAACACAUGCAAGUCGAGCGAGCGGCGGACGGGUGAGUAAUGUCUGGGAAACUGCCUGAUGGAGGGGGAUAACUACUGGAAACGGUAGCUAAUACCGCAUACCAUCAGAUGGCCCCUGAUGGGAUUAGCUAGUAGGUGGGGUAAUGGCUCACCUAGGCGACGAUCCCUAGCUGGUCUGAGAGGAUGACCAGCCACACUGGAACUGCGACACGGUCCAGACUCCUACGGGAGGCAGCAGGGGGGAAGAUUGGACAAUGGGCGAAAGCCUGAUCCAGCCAUGCCGCGUGUGUGAAGAAGGUCUUCGGAUUGUAAAGCACUUUAAGUUGGGAGGCGUUACCAACAGAAUAAGCACCGGCUAACUUCGUGCCAGCAGCCGCGGUAAUUC